rnacentral:rRNA from 1 species
UACGGAGGAGGCAAGCGUUAUCCGGAAUUAUUGGGCGUAAAGCGUCCGCAGGUGGCACUUCAAGUCUGUCGUCAAAGACUGGGGCUUAACCCUGGAAAGGCGGUGGAAACUGAAGCGCUAGAGUGCGGUAGGGGUAGAGGGAAUUCCCGGUGUAGCGGUGAAAUGCGUAGAGAUCGGGAAGAACACCUAUGGCGAAGGCAGCUCGCUGGGACGUUACUGACGCUGAGACGCGAAAGCGUGGGGAGCGAACAGG